rnacentral:rRNA from 1 species
GUCCCCAUGCAGAACACGUGGUCGAUAGGCCGGACGUGGAAGCCCCGCGAGGGGUGGAGCCGACCGGUACUAACGGACGAAAGGCA